GGCGUCGGCCAUUUUGUGGCUGUUUCCUGUGGGACACAGAGGUGGCGGUUGGGUCGGAAGAGUGAGAGACUGUUUGGCUAGUUUUUCCUGCUUGUUUUCUCCUUUUUUUUUCUGUCGGUAGAGCGCAGUUAUGGGUCGCAAGAAGAAGAAGCAGCUGAAGCCGUGGUGCUGGUAUUGUAAUAGAGAUUUUGAUGAUGAGAAGAUCCUUAUACAGCACCAAAAAGCAAAGCAUUUUAAAUGUCAUAUAUGUCAUAAGAAAUUGUAUACAGGACCUGGCUUAGCUAUUCAUUGCAUGCAGGUGCAUAAAGAGACAAUAGAUGCAGUACCAAAUGCAAUACCUGGGAGAACAGACAUAGAGUUGGAAAUAUAUGGUAUGGAAGGUAUUCCAGAAAAAGACAUGGAUGAAAGAAGACGACUUCUUGAACAGAAAACACAAGCAGAGAGUCAAAAAAAGAAGCAACAAGAGGAUUCUGAUGAAUAUGAUGAUGAUGACUCUGCAGCUUCAACUUCAUUUCAACCACAGCCUGUUCAACCUCAACAAGGUUAUAUCCCCCCAAUGGCACAACCAGGACUACCACCAGUUCCAGGAGCACCAGGAAUGCCUCCAGGCAUACCUCCAUUAAUGCCAGGUGUUCCUCCUCUGAUGCCAGGAAUGCCACCAGUUAUGCCAGGAAUGCCACCUGGAUUGCAUCAUCAGAGAAAAUACACCCAGUCAUUUUGCGGUGAAAACAUAAUGAUGCCAAUGGGUGGAAUGAUGCCACCUGGACCGGGAAUACCACCUCUGAUGCCUGGUAUGCCACCAGGUAUGCCCCCUCCUGUUCCACGUCCUGGAAUUCCUCCAAUGACUCAAGCACAGGCUGUUUCAGCGCCAGGUAUUCUUAACAGACCACCUGCACCAACAGCAACAGUUCCAGCUCCACAGCCUCCAGUUACUAAGCCUCUUUUCCCCAGUGCAGGACAGAUGGGGACACCUGUAACAAGCUCAAGUACAGCUUCAUCCAAUUCAGAAAGUCUGUCUGCGUCUUCUAAAGCUCUGUUUCCUAGCGCAGCACAAGCUCAGGCAGCUGUCCAAGGACCUGUUGGUACAGAUUUCAAGCCCUUAAAUAGUACCCCUGCAACAACUACAGAACCCCCAAAGCCUACAUUCCCUGCAUAUACACAGUCUACAGCUUCAACCACUAGUACAACAAAUAGCACUGCAGCUAAACCAGCAGCUUCAAUAACAAGUAAGCCUGCUACACUUACGACGACCAGUGCAACCAGUAAGUUGAUCCAUCCAGAUGAGGAUAUAUCGCUGGAAGAGAGAAGAGCACAGUUACCUAAAUAUCAACGUAAUCUUCCUCGACCAGGACAGGCUCCCAUUGGUAAUCCACCUGUUGGACCAAUUGGAGGUAUGAUGCCACCACAGCCAGGCAUCCCACAGCAACAAGGAAUGAGACCCCCGAUGCCGCCUCAUGGUCAGUAUGGUGGUCAUCAUCAAGGCAUGCCAGGUUAUCUUCCUGGUGCUAUGCCGCCGUAUGGGCAGGGACCGCCAAUGGUGCCCCCUUACCAAGGUGGGCCUCCUCGACCUCCGAUGGGAAUGAGACCUCCUGUAAUGUCGCAAGGUGGCCGUUACUGAUCUUACUUCAUCCAGUCUAAUAGCCCUGCCAUAGGACAGGCUGAGGCUGAGUCUCAGUGUUGCCCUGUUCAGUCUGAGGCAAGUGGGAUUUAUUUUAUUCCUUAUAGGGGCUUUCACAGCUUUAUGGCUGUUGGAUAUUCAUGUCCCCAAACUUGCAGCAAGUUUGGUGAAGGCCCCUAAAUUUAAUUAAAUUUAGGAUUUUUAUACUCUUUUGGCAGAGAAGGCUCUAUAUUAAUAUUCACGUUUGACUGUGGUGUUAAUAAACAGAAAGUAUUUGACAUGUAACUUUAUGUAAUUUACUUUGUGUUACGUAAUAUUUAACAGCCUCAGUAAAGGUGAUGUUAUUUAUAUUGAACUUGAGUAAAUUGACAAAAUUUGACGUUCUUGAUUUGGAGGCAUGAAAUGUUUCAUUCAAAUUUUCCCUUUCACUUUUAGGAAAAUCUUACUGGUUAUUUUCUCCUCAAACUAUUAAAUUUAACCUCAAGGAUAAUAAUCAUUGGAAAUGCCACUGGAUACUGAAAUCUGCAUUUUUAAUCCCAAAGUUAUGCAUUGAACGUUAAGGUUGAAAGGUCAUCUGGAAAUGCUUGUGACUUUUAAUAUUUCCAAAUUUCACCACAUUAGAGCAAAUGUUAAUGUAGAGCCCUGUGAAAAGUGGGAAGAUGGUGUGUAUGUGUGGUAUGUAUGCGUAUACACUACACAUUUGAUAUAAUAAAAGAGUUUGGGUAUUACACACUUAUCAGUAUGGAUGGAUUACAAAUUUUCAGGCAGCCAAACUGAAAUUGUUUCACAUAGUAAAGUUUAGUAUAUUGAAUUGUGGUUUUGGAACGAUUAUUUUGAGUUUCAUUUUUAGCCUUACUGAACAAUAAUUUGAUGCAAUAUGCACACAUGAAAAACACCCGUGUUUGUUUCCAACUAAAAAUUGUUUUUAUUCGGUGGAAAAAGUUGUGUUUAUGUGUGUAUGUUGUAGUGGGCAAGUAACAGGGGAACUGAAAGAGAGGCCAAAACAUUAACUUGGAUUACUUUUGUUCCUUCCCGUGUUAAAGCCACUGUUCUAUGCAGAUAGCAUUUUCCUCUGAACAGUAACAGUUCACUUAUAGUACAAUGUUUAGCAAACCCAGGCUUGUGUUUCUAUGUGGUUUUAAUUCUUGGAAACAAAGAAGAAAAACGAAUUAAAUGAAUUCCAAAUUUUCACCUCUGUAAUUGGAAUAUAAGCUUUUCUCUGUAACUGAAUCAUGGAAAAAAGAUAAUUAACAUUUGAGAAAAGAAUUGUGUCACAACAAAAAAAUUCCACUGGAAUAUUUUACUACCUGCUCAAUAACUGCAUCUUUUAAGACUCCUCAGUUGGAGUUGUUUUCUGUUGCAUCCAUCAUUCCCCAAUAUACUGAAAUAUUCAAGAGUGAAGUUGCUUGUCCUAAUUCUAAUAGUGAUCAUUGAAAUAAUUAUAAUUGAAAUACCCUCUUAAAUGCUUGAGUACUGGGGUGGGAGGGAUUUUCUAAGGGAGACAUAAUUUGUUGAAGGUGAUACAGAUAUCUAAGAUGUAGGUUCUUCGAUCUUUGUAGUCCUCUGACUCAGACAAAUACAGUUUUGAGAAUAACUUUCAGGUAUCUAUUAUAUCCACAGGUAAAACUUGGUAAAUUACUGAAAGGAAAUGUUGAAGUCACUUCUUUACUGAGAUGAAAUUUUGUUUAAGUAAACUGACACUUGUAUCGGUUAGGGGAUUUUUUAAAAAGUAGUAAACAUGUUCCCUAAAAUUUUGUGUAAAUCAAGUAUGUCUUUUUUUAAAGGUGGUAUUUAUCUACCUUAUUGAAUAACCUUUGUAUGUUAUUCCAAAAUGAAACUGGUUUUCUUACUCUUUUAUGGAAGUCUUCUAAAAGAAGAGAUUCAUUAUAAGACUAUUGACUAUAAGGCAGAGUUUUGUAAGUAAACAUUCUCCCAUUUAUACUUCUGCUAUCUCAUGAUUUGAAUAUUAGUAUAGGUUAUUCCUUUUUAGCCUUCUUUCUCAGUAUUUUGUUUUCUGUCAUCUGAAUCAUUUUAAUAAAUGAUCUUUUGUUUUAGUAGCAUAGCAAUCAUCUGAUAUUUCUUGGCAAAAUAAGCAGCUACUUUAAUGAUGUUAUAUAUAGUGUCAUGCACAUAGUGGAUAUUCACAAUUUUGUAAUUAAUGUUGUAUUUUGAGAACUAUACUUUUAAUAUCUUGGCUCUUAGGCAUUCCCUGUUAUGAAUCUAAUUCAAACUAAUACAUAGCAAAUGGGGAAAGCAGGACCUCAGUUUGAGCUCCCUAAUACUUUAAACAUCUCCAACAUUUCCAAGUGUUUUCAUGUUCUUUUUUUUUGUUUGUUUGUUUUUGUUUUCAUGUUCUUACUUGGCAUUUUUGUAGGAAAAUAAGCUUGAAAGUAUCAUGUUUUAAAAAACUAGAUUUCUUCAGUAAGGCUCAGAGGAGAAUUGUUUUUUAUAAGCAUUGUUUUUCUUGCUGUGGACUUCAUACAUUUUUGCAUAAUAAUUUGGCCAUAAAAGAAAGAGCUUUUCAUUUUCUUCCCAACUCUGGAAAAAUAAUAGCUUGAAACUGUAUUAGUUUGAAAUUUUUGAACCAUCUCUCUUUAAAUCUAUUCAACUAAUCUCAUGUAUAUUCUCAGGGGAAAUUACAUUUUACAAGUCAGGAUAUAGAAAUCAUAUUAAGGCAGAAAUUGGAGACCCAAAGGAGAUCUUCACUGAAGCUAAUUUGAACUAUUUCUAUUUGAAGCAAAUUGAACACUGUAUUAUAAAUGAAGACUGGUUCAUGGUUAGGUUCUUUAGGAGGCAAAUAAUCACCAGCUUUAUCAUGAGAAUAUGUUUGUGUAUAUGUUGUAAUUUCGGGCACAUUAACUUACAGAGAAGGUACAUGUGAGUAAACUGUUUUAACAAUUGAUUAGUUGGACCCCAGCCAUUAAUUCCAAAUGCUGUAAUGGUAUGUAAGGUUGUGAUAUGGCACAGUUUCAGUAAUGUGCUGUGUGUUUAGUCAGGGGUUUGUGUAAUGCUUUGUUUGUAAAAAAAGGGGAAGUCCUUUAUUGGAAUUCUCCGGGCCUUUUGGCAUUCUUACUGUGUCUGGGUUUUUUUUUUUUAUCAUUAUUAUAGUUAAGAAUCAUAUGCCUUUGUUUUUGUUUAAAUGUGAGGAACUGGCAGUGAAGUUCAUUGAUGCCCAACUUGGAUAAAAAUGAAGAAUGUUGUUUGCCCAGCUUACUACACACAAACCAGUAGUGAUUAUUUGGGUGAGAGGCCAUUGUACAGUAUCGUUAGACUUUUAAGAACCUUAAAUGUAAUGAAAGGUAAUAGUAUUUUGGCCUUGGUUUACAUUUGUUAUGCAAGAUUUCAUCAAAUCAUUUAUUAUAAUGUAGCUCAUUCUUAAUAUUUUUAUUUAUAAAUAAUUUGGCAAUCAGAUGAAAAUAAACAAGGCUUACCACGUCAUUUUCCAGUUUCUACUAAUAAAACAAGUCUGCCUAACUACCCAAGUGGACCAAGGGAAGCGUUAUUAAAGUUUCUGUAAAUUUGAGUUAGAAAAAUAUGGGAGAUUUAGUUACUGAGCAUAGCCUGCCUUUUAGCUAUUAGCUUGUUAGUGUACUUCUAGGAGAAGCAAUAGAGUGUGCUUUUCAGCCCAUGUGUUUAAAAUGGAAAAUCUUUAAUAUACAGAAAUGAAGUCAAGUAUUUUAGAAGUUGAAUUUAAAAUAUUAAAAAUUGCUUGUUUCUGUGGGAUGUGUCUACAUGUACUUAAAUUAGAAAUUAUCACGCAGAGAUUUUUAUUCCUAGAUAUAUGUACCCCCUCUCCUUUUAGAGUAACCCAUAUCUUUAUAGUACACAUACUGGAAUAUAUAAUUUAUUAAAAUUGAGAGGUGUCCAAGAGAUAUACAGUAUUACUAACUCAUUCUCAUAAGGUCACUCUAAAUUUAAUAGCCAAUAUAAGGUACUUUUUGUAAGACAGGGAAAUUUUUUUUAAUGUAAUAAUGUCAGGCUCUGAGGAAAUUUUAUGCACAUUGACUUUUUAAACUAUGAAUUGAACUCCUCAGUUUAAUACAAUUUGUGUUUUUGUUAACUAGCAGCAGAAUUUCAGCAUUUGCUACUUACUGGUAGAGAAGAAAAAUCCCACAGCCCUGCCAGUACAGGUUAGUUUAAUCUGUAAGUACCUGAUGUUCCUAUUUUUUUCAAACAUACCCAUAUAACCCACACCAGGAAGAAAGCUGUGCAGUUACUUAAAUGUGAGUAUGACACUGGACACUUCUAAACACUCAGUACUUGGGCCAAAGUAGCUCUAGGUUUGCUCACCUGAGUUGUAAUAAAGGUGUAAUACUGCUCCUUUAUUAUCGGGUUACGGUUAAACCUAAAUAGAUAUGUUGUACAUAGAAGGAAGACUGAAAGUUUUAAUUGGCUAUAUGCUCAUGUUGGUAUAUGGAGUACAGGGGUUUGGGUCCAGGGUCUCCUACUUAAGCCGCUCCUUGGUACUCAUACUUACCUUUUAACUUUUUACAGUAUGAAUCAACAGAUAAAAAGUCAAGUUUCCUCACCUCUAGUAGUGAUAAAUGGUGUGCAGUCGUAUGCCAGAAUAUAUUUUUAUGUUGCUUUUUUGUUCUUAGAUAUUUUUAGUAACUCUUGUUGUAAGUACUAAUUUUGUUCAUCCUUUUUGUAAACUAUAACCUGUUGGUGCACCACCACUGUGGGUUCAUUUUAAUUUGAACUAAGAAGAACCUUUUUAAUAUUCAGAUGAAAGCUGACUACCCAUCAAGAAAUCUAGACACAUUCUUUGUAUAUUCCUUUUGAGGAGCAGUGAGGACAUAACAGGUUAUGAAAGUUAUGUUAAAGUUUUUAUUAGUUUCAUUGGUUCUACCAGCGUUCAUUGUUGUCUUGAACCAUCCUUCAGAGAUUUCCUUUAACCUUUAAAUAUUGUGCUCUUAUGUUGAUAAAAAUUUUAAAUACUGAGGAGAGAAGAAGAAAGUAUACAAUUUAGUUUAUACAAGCCUACCUGAACCAUUCUGCUAUUCUGUAUGGCUUCCUCUUCACCUUAAGUGUAAUAUUGUAUAAUGUGAGUCUGUCCGUACAACUACUGAUUUUUUUACUCCUGUUAAACUGGGAUGGUGAUAAAGACCUUGAUUUAUCAACUUAUAAAAUAUAUUUUAUAAGAUAUCCACUUGUUUUUUUAACAUAUAAAAUUGCCUAAGGGCUUAAGUUUCAUUGCCUUUCACAGUUUAAUCUGUAUAAGAAAUGGCGUAGAUACAGUGGAAAUGGUUUUCCUUAAAACCAUCUCUUUAAAGCUGCUUUUCUGGUGAGUACUAUUUUAUACUUUUAUGUAUCACUAUUUUUCCAUUUAAAUUUAACUUAAGUUGGACACUUUGAUCAAAGUGUAUGAGUUUCUACACUCUUAUUACCUGAAUUGAGAAUGUUAAGAAGGUGAUUAUUUUACCUCCUGAUGUUUCUCUAAUAAUUGGGGCUCACUUUUUUCCUGACCUUCACUUAAUAGACUAUAUAACUACAAAAACUUUAACGUGUAAAUGAUUUCUUUUUGGUGAGAUAGGAAAGAUGUUUUUACUCAAAACUAGUGUUAAAAAAUUUUUUAUUUUAACUUAAAAAUUUUUUUAGUUGACAAGCAAAAGUGUUUUUUUUCCUCAAUGCUUUUGGUUGCCAUGUUGCGUAGGUUUAAAAUUUAAAGACCAGAAUUUUUGUCCAGUGAUUCUUGAGUAGUUAAGCUGGGAAUAGAGUUGAAGGAAAGCUUGCCCAAAAUGGUCAUGCAGACUAAUUGCUUACAGGAGUCUCUGAGUGAGGCUUGAGAAUUUCAAAUGUAUUCUUAAAUCAUUCUAACCUUGCAUGAAAAACUUGGGUUGGACUACUGAUUUCUGGGAUUGUGUAUACCCGUGAAAAUUAGCCUGAGCAUAUUUGUAAUUACUUGAUCCCCUGUUAAAUCCCUCCGUCAUUGUAACACAUGGAUUUUUUUCUCUAGCUUUUAGCCACAUCCUACCUAACAUCAGUUUAUCUAAGGAUGUUUUCACAUUGUAUUUCCUGCUGUGAACUUUGUAAGCCAAUAAUAAAAAGUCAGCUCAUGCUUUUUAGUAUGAACAGUGAUAGUCUUCUAAAAUAAAUCUGAAAAUUUGAAUAUGUGAUAAUGGUAAUGUAUUCUUCUAGAUAAGCACUACACAAAGUGUGGACCCUCAAUUUAUGUCUUUAAGAUUUAAAGUGAAGUAAAUUUCUAAGGAACUCUGUCCUUUCCUAGCAAGGAUAAGCAGACACUGAAAAUUUGCUCCAGUUAAAGCUGACAAUAGACAACUGAUCAAAAAUGGGAAAGAAAUCUUUGUGCUCUUCCUGGAGUAUUGUAGGAAUCAUCGUAUAAUAAUAUUAAGCCAAUGCUGGAUUUUCAUGGAAGGAGUGGUUUUUAAAUAAGAGAAAAAGGUGGUGAGAUUUUGGAAUCUCUCCUCCCUGGAACUGCAUUACUAUUAAGAAGAAGAAUAAAUAGAGGUUAAAGUGAAAACAUUGAAUUACUACAGCAGGGAAGGUGAUUUAUAUCUGAGCGUUGGUUGGCUGGAUGAUAUCUUCAGAUACAUUUUUGAGAAGAAGUGUACAUAGCUGGUGUAUUUCUUGACUCUUUGCAUAUUUGAGAACAUUUUUCUGUUGCCUUCAAACGUGAUCAACAGUCUGGAUAAAGAAUUCCCAUCAAUAUUCUAAAUUAACAACAACAGCAAAAAGAAAGUAAAAUUCAAGAAAUGGUUGAACUUCAGUAAAUAUUUCUUCAUUGGAAGAGCUAUUAUUUCCCAGACACUUCAAAGUUAAGAAAAAGGACAUUAAAAACAUUAAAAAAUUGAAAUCAUUGUA